rnacentral:miRNA from 1 species
ACAUGAGUCAUUUGGGAUGUUGGUAAAAUUCAGGUUCUGAUUCACCAGGUCAGGGGUGGGACUUAUGUGUCUGCAUUUCUAACAAGUUCCCAAGUGAUGACAAA